AGCUAACAAACAAAAGUGGUGCACAGUCACUUGUGAAUAAAACUUAACACAAAAUUAGGGCACACCGAAAUUCAGUGACAGAUUUCUUAGCCAUCCAAGAUGAGGACAAAUUUUCCGCACAAUAGUAUUAUUCCCUUUAUCUCUUUCUUUGCUACUCCCAUUUCUGGUUCAGCAAUUACUUUCAGAAGCCAUAUUAAUAAAUCCAUUUCAAUAAAGGGUAAACUUGGGUUAUACAUCAAUUUUGAGAAUUUUCAGUGUUUAGAUGAUGCUGUUACUCUCUUCUAUCAAAUGGUUAAAACACAACCUCUACCUUCUGUUCUCGUCUUUUGUCAAUUAUUUAAGACUAUGCUAAAUAUGAAGCACUAUUCUGCUGUCAUUUCUCUUUUCCGAGAAAUGCAGAAAUUGGGCAUUCCAAUUAACAGUUAUUGCCUGAUGCAUCGUGUUGAUUGUGGAUUUUCAGUGUUACCCAUUUACUUGAAGAAUGACAUUUCAUUUAAUGUUGUCACCUUUAACACCCUAUUAAGGGAAUCUUCGCUGAAAUUAAGGUCAAAGAUGCAGUUGACUUGUUCAAAAGUUGCUGCGGGGCCCAUACCUGAUUUACACACUUAUGUCACAUUGCUCAAUGGUUUUUUAAGUAUGGACUUGUUGAAGAAGCUAUGUCGCCCUUUAAUAAGUUGGAAAGAAAGAUAGAAUAUGCUAGUAUUGAAUUUUACAAUGUUGUCAUUGAUGGAUUGUGCAAGAAUGGUAAACUCGACAAAGCUCGUGCAAUUUUUGAGAAGCUUUUUUUGAACGGAGUGCUUCCGGAUCUGAGAACAUACUCCAUAAUGAUAAAUGGAUUUUGUCUUGAAGGGUUUUUGGAUGAUGCUAACGAUAGGCUUAGAAAAAUGGAGGACAACGGCUGUUUGCCCGGCGAUGUCACUUACAAUGUGUUUGUGCAAGGAUUUCUCAGGUGGUAAAGGCUAUAAGCGAGAAUCCUUCCAUCCUUGACAUGAUACCAGAGCUUCACUCGAAAAAUAAUAAGUUAAUAUUUCUUUUUACUUGGUUUAUUCGCCUAUGCUAUCACUCUGAUACAAUUUCCUUUUAUCUCGGCAAAAAAAAUGGCAUCCAAUACAAUUGCAGUAGCUGAAACAAAUGACAAUUAGAACGUUGCUUGAGCUUUCCAGGCAGCCUUAUUGUGGAGAACAGGCUCAUCACGAUCACAUCAGAAACUAAAGUUCUGAAAGCGAUGCAACUGAUGACAGUUUUGUAAAAAGCGAGUGCUUCAUAUCUUAAAGCGGUGAAGCGAAGCGAUAUGUGGGCGCUUCAAGGCUGUGAAGUGAAGCAGCCACUUCUUGCGCUGAAGCGACCUGAAGUGAGAUAACUGCGUCAUGGACAUUUCUCUAGUUGAUCAGUUGAUCAGAUUGAUAUGAUAGGGAUGGUGACCACCGGAGAUAUUGUCUGUGCUGUUGCAAGUCAGCAUAGGGAUAAGCUGGACCAUUUAAAUGCUUACAUACAAGGAGGUUACUAGAUUAUGAUGACAAUAAAUAAAUGGAUCAGGCGCGCUUAUCUUGUAAAUAUUUCCAUGCUUGGUUUAACAUUACCUUUCUCAAAAAAAAAAUAUUUGCAUGCUUGGGUUUUCUAGUAUUGGUAUGCGCCUUCGGAUGUGGCCUACUGCAAAUACUUCUCAAGUUUGGUGUGUUUAUAAUGGAAAGCUGUAUAAGAUGACAAUUUCUUUAAACAUAAUAAAUAGUGUUUCAUCUUA